AACGCACAUUGCGCCCGCCAGUAUUCUGGCGGGCAUGCCUGUUCGAGCGUCAUUUCAACCCUCAAGCCCAGCUUGGUGUUGGGGACCGGCCUGCCUCCAGCGCUUGCCGCCCCCGAAAUACAGUGGCGGUCUCGCCGCUGCCUCCUCUGCGUAGUAGUUUACGACCUCGCAUGCGGAGCGCGGCGCGGCCACGCCGUAAAACCCCCUACUUUCAAAGGUUGACCUCGAAUCAGGUAGGAAUACCCGCUGAACUUAA
rnacentral:misc_RNA from 1 species